GGCCCUUUGUAUGACUAAUCACUCUCCUUUGGUUAUCUCACACUCUUAUACACUGUAAUAGUCAGCCUCUCCACAUCACUUUCCUCGGCUAAGGCGCCGCGCUGUGCUCUCACACACCGACUCCUGAGAAUAUUCCACUUACGCAAAGACGAGAUUAUUCAUAUAGAUUCACGCUUCUUCCAGAUGGACGUCUGCACGAUGCGAUACACAUGGGCGGCUCUCUGCAUCGCCGUGUUAGCCAUGUCAGUUUCAGUGAAAUCUGAGGAGGCUCCGAAUGCUUUAGUGACUUACGAGCUCACCAUGGACAUCACCAACCGCAUCUACAACAGCUCUCUACUCAAGUCCAACUCUUCUGAUUAUGCGAUCUUGUACAAACAAGUUACUGACAUGCUCAACUCCAUCUACGGCUGUGCCACGUGUAAAACACACGUGUUUUAUGGCAAUGUGUCAGCGAUGACCUUCAGCAAUCAAACUGGAACCGUGCUCGUAAAGGCUAGUCUCGUGUUCCAGUCAAACAAAACCAACGCUGAUGAGAUCAAAGGGCUGUUUAUGAACGCGACCGCUGCCGAUAAGGAAAUAAACGGCCUUAAAGUCAACCCUAAUUUCACACAAGUUUCAGUGAAAUCUGAGGAGGCUCCGAAUGCUUUAGUGACUUACGAGCUCACCAUGGACAUCACCAACCGCAUCUACAACAGCUCUCUACUCAAGUCCAACUCUUCUGAUUAUGCGAUCUUGUACAAACAAGUUACUGACAUGCUCAACUCCAUCUACGGCUGUGCCACGUGUAAAACACACGUGUUUUAUGUCAAUGUGUCAGCGAUGACCUUCAGCAAUCAAACUGGAACUGUGCUCGUAAAGGCUAGUCUCGUGUUCCAGUCAAACAAAACCAACGCUGAUGAGAUCAAAGGGCUGUUUAUGAACGCGACCGCUGCCGAUAAGGAAAUAAACGGCCUUAAAGUCAACCCUAAUUUCACACAAGUUUCAGUGAAAUCUGAGGAGGCUCCGAAUGCUUUAGUGACUUACGAGCUCACCAUGGACAUCACCAACCGCAUCUACAACAGCUCUCUACUCAAGUCCAACUCUUCUGAUUAUGCGAUCUUGUACAAACAAGUUACUGACAUGCUCAACUCCAUCUACGGCUGUGCCACGUGUAAAACACACGUGUUUUAUGGCAAUGUGUCAGCGAUGACCUUCAGCAAUCAAACUGGAACCGUGCUCGUAAAGGCUAGUCUCGUGUUCCAGUCAAACAAAACCAACGCUGAUGAGAUCAAAGGGCUGUUUAUGAACGCGACCGCUGGCGAUAAGGAAAUAAACGGCCUUAAAGUCAACCCUAAUUUCACACAAGUUUCAGUGAAAUCUGAGGAGGCUCCGAAUGCUUUAGUGACUUACGAGCUCACCAUGGACAUCACCAACCGCAUCUACAACAGCUCUCUACUCAAGUCCAACUCUUCUGAUUAUGCGAUCUUGUACAAACAAGUUACUGACAUGUUCAACUCCAUCUACGGCUGUGCCACGUGUAAAACACACAUGUUUUAUGGCAAUGUGUCAGCGAUGACCUUCAGCAAUCAAACUGGAACCGUGCUCGUAAAGGCUAGUCUCGUGUUCCAGUCAAACAAAACCAACGCUGAUGAGAUCAAAGAGCUGUUUAUGAACGCGACCGCUGGCGAUAAGGAAAUAAACGGCCUUAAAGUCAACCCUAAUUUCACACAAGUCAUAGCACCACCGUCCACCCCUGCACCAACUGUCUCCAGCACUUCCCAUACAACCAAGUCUCCACUUCUUGCAACUACACACUACAACACCGCCUCGUCCUUUAAUCAAAGUCCCAUUGCUCUGACGUCAAUUCUCCGCUAUACUGUUUCGUUCUGCCUGCUUUACUUCCUCAGCUAUUCUUUUUAAUUGUGUAAACCUGCCACUAGGGGCAGUGCAACAUCUUUAUAUAAUGAAAUACGUUAAUCUACAGGGUGUACCAACAAUCUCCUUACAUAGUGGACUAUGUUCACCAGCAUCACGUCGGUUGUGUCUUUAUGAGUGGAUGUUGGUGAAUGUCCACUUCUCGGUCUGCAACACUUAUAUAUAUAUAUAUAUAUAUAUAUAUAUAUA
ensembl:lncRNA